rnacentral:rRNA from 1 species
CAGCAGCCGCGGGAAUACGUAGGUCCCGAGCGUUGUCCGGAUUUAUUGGGCGUAAAGCGAGCGCAGGCGGUUAGAUAAGUCUGAAGUUAAAGGCUGUGGCUUAACCAUAGUACGCUUUGGAAACUGUUUAACUUGAGUGCAAGAGGGGAGAGUGGAAUUCCAUGUGUAGCGGUGAAAUGUGUAGAUAUAUGGAGGAACACCGGUGGCGAAAGCGGCUCUCUGGCUUGUAACUGACGCUGAGGCUCGAAAGCGUGGGGAGCAAACAGGAUUAGAUACCCGUGUAGUCCCUGUCUCUUAUACA